GGCUGGGGUAUAGGUAUAGGCCUGGGGUAUAGGACUAAGGUUUAGGUAUAGGGCUGGUGUAUAGGUUUAGGGCUGGGAUUUAGGGCUGGGGUAUAGGUAUAGGUAUAGGGCUGGGGUAUAGGGCUGUGGCUGGGGUAAAGGGCUAGGGUAAAGGUGUGGGGCUGGGGUAUAGGGAUGGGGGAUGGGUAUAGGGCUGGGGUAUAGGUAUAGGGCUGGGGUACAGGGCUGGGGUAUAGGGCUGAGGUUUAGGUAUAGGGCUGGGGUAUAGUGCUGGGAUAUAUGCCUGAGGUAUAGGGCUGGGGUAUAGGGCUGGGGUAUAGGGCUGGGGUAUAGGGCUGGGGUAUAGGUAUAGAGCUGGGGUAUAGGUAUAGGGCUGGGGUAUAGGGCUGGGGUAUAGGGCUGGGGUAUAGGUAUAGGCCUGGGGUAUAGGGCUAAGGUUUAGGUAUAGGGCUGGUGUAUAGGUUUAGGGCUGGGAUUUAGGGCUGGGGUAUAGGUAUAGGUAUAGGGCUGGGGUAUAGGGCUGUGGCUGGGGUAAAGGGCUAGGGUAAAGGUGUGGGGCUGGGGUAUAG
ensembl:lncRNA